rnacentral:rRNA from 1 species
GGAAAUCUCACCAGGCCCGGACACUGGAAGGAUUGACAGAUUGAUACCUCUUUCUUGAUUCUGUGGGUGGUGGUGCAUGGCCGUUCUUAGUUGGUGGAGUGAUUUGUCUGGCUUAAUUUGACUCAACGCGGGAAAUCUCACCAGGCCCGGACACUGGAAGGAUUGACAGAUUGAUAGCUCUUUCUUGUUAGCAAUAA